AUAAAUCAUAAAUGCAAAGCUAUUAGAACUGAAUUUGUCAAUAAAUAAAUAAAAAGUAACAGUCUAGGUUCAACAAAGCUCUAAAUAGGAACCUUACAACUUUAUCAGCCGAGGUACAAGACAAGAUAAGACAUCACAGACAACCAAAUAAGAGAAAGAAACUGAUCCAACCACCAAACGAUAGAGAGCAUUACAUUCAUCCAAAGGUACAGCGUAACAGGAUAAAUUUGUAAAAAGAAACCAUUAUCCCAAAGCUGACCAAGUCUGAUGAAUGUUUGGUCUUUUUUCUUAAAAAAACAACUUCAGAAGAGGGAAAUCACUUGGCCAUCAUGACCUUAACAA
rnacentral:misc_RNA from 1 species